UGAUAGAGGCGCGGCGUUCAAGAGUAGCUUCCACCUACCGACAGACAUCGGGAAGCAAAAGGGAUCGCCGCCGAGGCGCUGUGGCUGCUGUCUGGCAGCCCGGCAGCCGGGCCGUCGGAUAAGAUCCGCCGGACUGUCACGUUCCGUGGAGAGCUGUC
rnacentral:ncRNA from 1 species